rnacentral:SRP_RNA from 1 species
CCGCACUAGCCGGGGAGUCAGCGGUGCCCUCUUCCUGCAAUCCGCUACAGCAGGGGUGAAUUCCGGCCCUCGGAUGUUAUAUUGUGUUGUCGGCUCAGAUAAGCGGUGCUGACGAGCCGGUCCCGCGCAAGGCUGGCCUGUGAACCAUGUCAGGCGGGGAACCGAGCAGCAUUAAGCAGCCACCAGCUUGUGCCGCGGGGACACCGUCUCCGAGCUGGCUGUCGGAGUAACGGACAUGAUAUGCACUUCAAAGGCCGGUGUGCGG